CCUACGGGAGGCUGCAGUGGGGGAUAUUGCACAAUGGGGGGAACCCUGAUGCAGCGACGCCGCGUGGGUGAAGAAGCGCCUCGGCGCGUAAAGCCCUGUCAGCAGGGAAGAAAAUGACGGUACCUGAAGAAGAAGCCCCGGCUAACUACGUGCCAGCAGCCGCGGGAAUACGUAGGGGGCACGCGUUAUCCGGAUUUACUGGGUGUAAAGGGGGCGCAGGCGGCGUUGCAAGCCAGGAGUGAAUGCCCGGGGCCCAACCCCGGGACUGCUCUUGAAACUGCGUGGCUGGAGUGCAGGAGGGGCAGGCGGAAUUCCUGGGGUAGCGGUGAAAUGCGUAGAUAGCAGGAGGAACACCGGUGGCGAAGGCGGCCUGCUGGACUGCAACUGACGUUGAGGCCCGAAAGCGUGGGGAGCAAACAGGAUUAGAUACCCGAGUAGUC
rnacentral:rRNA from 1 species